CUGACUUAAUUUCAACACUAACAAAAUAUAUUUAAUUUCUUUAUACAUACAAAUAAUAAAGUUAAAUGCUAAAGUUUAUUUUAAGAAGAUGUAAUUGUGUAGAGUUCAAAACAAAAAUAAAAUAACGAAUUAAAUAUUAUUGUUAAAAACGAAUUGAUACAGGCAUAUAGAAAAUUGACAUGAUGCGAUCUUACUGUUCUUAAUUGAUAAGGGUUUUAAGAAAUAUAAACUUACGCAGGUAAAGAAAAAAUCGGUAUGCUUAGAAGGCCUAAGACAGGAGGAGGUCCAGCCCCCCCUUCUUUAACAGCAUCGGAGGACGCACUGAUGCAAGCAUUUGACGGACGGCCACAGAUAUGCGGUCUGGCGGACGGUAUCGACACUGACGCCAAUGACGAAACAACAGAAACAUCAAAGGAUGUGGAAUCUAUCACAUUGGCUUCCGGAACAACAUCGUCCACUUCGUCAACGUCUAAACCAUCGGCCUCCACGUCGUCCUCUUUAUCGGAGCGACCAAC